AUGUGUGUGUUUCUUAAGCAAGAGCCACCUAGUACGUUAGGCAUACAACGGGGGUACGUUGGGCGUACUAGGGAUAGAAGGAAACUCUAAUUAAGUGAAGUGUCCGUAUAAAAAGAAAGAGAUGGUCUCAUUUGUGGCCACCUUCCUUACUUAUUAAACCCUCUCAAACCCUAAUAUCCUUUCUUGAAGCUUGUGGUGGCCAUGAUGAGCUUGUUUGUGUUCAUGUGGACUUUUAAGUGUUAAGAAGGAGCAUGGAAGGGAGUGAUGUUGAAGAGCAGGUUGUGGAUCUGAGCUUUCUUGGGGUCAGAGCACCAUUUGAUUUUAAGGUAUAAAGCUGCACGCUUUCCCUCUCUUUUUGUUUUGUGCAUAUUAGGGUCCAUUUUAGGGUUUUUGGUCCCAAGCUUGAGGCUUUAUGAGUUGAUUCACUCCAGAGCUUAAUAACCUGUCCUUUUAAGUGUUUCUAGUGGUGGAGAACCAUAAAAAUAAGGUCUUGAUCGUGUGAAUCUAUCCAUGCAUGAGUUAUGAGCAUUUUGGGUUAAGAAAGUAAAAGUUUUUAUGUGUUGUGACCUUAUCAGCCAUGCAAAGGCUUAAAGUCGAUAACUUAUUAGAGUAGGAGAUGUUAGGAAGUCUAGAUCCAAGAGAUGAGUUAAGGUCUUAACGGGUUAAGACCCAAAAAUUGAUUUCAGCAAAACUGAGAGUACGCCCAACGUAAUCCUAUUAUGGCCCGCAACUGGGCUGAUGUCCCCGAUUAGAAUUAUGCAUGCUUGAGUACGCUGAGCGUACCAAAGGAGGUACGCCCCGUGUAACCCCUUUGUGGGCUUUUGGGCUAAGUGAUGUUUUGGGCCUAGAGUGUUGGGCCUGGAGUUUGGGCUUCAUGCAUAGAGUCAUGGACCAGCAGAGUGUAUAUAUGUGCCUUAGGGCCCUAGGUUUGGGCUUGCCUUUUUGGUUGGGAAUUGGGUCGUGCGAGAACCCAUUUAUUAUUGGGCUUUGGUGGGCCGAAAGGGCUUAGGGUAUUAAUGGGCUGUUAGGUGGUCUAUCUUUAGAUCCAAUGAGUGAGAGGUUGGACUUGGCUCCAAAUUGAGAUUUAUUAUGGGUUUGGCACAGAGUUAGAGUCUGGUACGUAGCAGCAGUGAUUAAAGGAGUUGUUCUUCACCGGAGGUGAGUCUUCUCACUAUACUUUACCUUUAAAGGUAAUUANAUAAAAAUAAGGUCUUGAUCGUGUGAAUCUACCCAUGCAUGAGUUAUGAGCAUUUUGGGUUAAGAAAGUAAGAGUUUUUAUGUGUUGUGACCUUAUCAGCCAUGCAAAGGCUUAAAGUCGAUAACUUAUUAGAGUAGGAGAUGUUAGGAAGUCUAGAUCCAAGAGAUGAGUUAAGGUCUUAACGGGUUAAGACCCAAAAAUUGAUUUCAGCAAAACUGAGAGUACGCCCAGCGUAAUCCUAUUAUGGCCCGCAACUGGGCUGAUGUCCCCGAUUAGAAUUAUGCAUGCUUGAGUACGCUGAGCGUACCAAAGGAGGUACGCCCCGUGUAACCCCUUUGUGGGCUUUUGGGCUAAGUGAUGUUUUGGGCCUAGAGUGUUGGGCCUGGAGUUUGGGCUUCAUGCAUAGAGUCAUGGACCAGCAGAGUGUAUAUAUGUGCCUUAGGGCCCUAGGUUUGGGCUUGCCUUUUUGGUUGGGAAUUGGGUCGUGCGAGAACCCAUUUAUUAUUGGGCUUUGGUGGGCCGAAAGGGCUUAGGGUAUUAAUGGGCUGUUAGGUGGUCUAUCUUUAGAUCCAAUGAGUGAGAGGUUGGACUUGGCUCCAAAUUGAGAUUUAUUAUGGGUUUGGCACAGAGUUAGAGUCUGGUACGUAGCAGCAGUGAUUAAAGGAGUUGUUCUUCACCGGAGGUGAGUCUUCUCACUAUACUUUACCUUUAAAGGUAAUUAGAGUUAUGUGAUAGAGCAUUUUGUAUGUUACUUAGAUGAUGUGAAACACUGCAUUAUUUCUAUGUGAUUUAUGUUGUGUAUGUUCCAGAGUUUACAAAGUUGGAACCGGAAGGUUCACAGAGUUAGGACCAGAGGGUCCACAGGGUUAGGACCAGAGGGUCCACAGAGUUAUAGCCUCGAGUGGCUAAUAUGUGUUAUAUGAGGUAUUUAUGGGAACUCACAAAGCUUCGUGCCUAUUGUGUUAUGUGUUUCAGGUUUUCUUAUUUGGAUCAUAGGACGGCACCGACUAGAUUGUACACACCAGAGAAAGAUUUAAGAGGACCCUAGAUUAUCAUUUUAUUAAACAUGGAGCUAUGUUUUGUGAUUUAAUAAUGAUGUCUUGUGAAAUAUGUACUGAGAAUUAUAAUUUUUCAAAAGAAGGUUUUUUUUUUUGAAAUUGACGGUCUUACAAGUUGGUAUCAGAUCCUUGCUUUGAUGUAUUCGGAUGCACCUUUGGGUAUAUCUGGACUCUAAAUACCCUUACCUUAUGUUUUAUGAGAUAUUAUGAGAUAUUAUGCAUGCUAGAGAUAGGCACGGUAUUUCAUAUAUUAGGACUAGAGUGGCCCGAUUUGUUAUGCCUUUGCCUAGGAGUUGUUGUAAUCUGUGAUUCGCUUUCGAGUAUGUGUUGAGUAAGAGUAUCCAGUGGGAAUCCUUGUAGAGAGAGAUUUGAGUAUAGGAUUAAUCUAGGAGAGAUACCAAGAUGAGCAUUGGUGGAACCUACCGAGAGAGUAGCUAGAUACCGCGGGAGGUAGAGUUGGAGAGUUCAGUGAUAUCUUUUGAGUAUGAGUAGAGCUAGUGGAGUUAUCAGCUAGAGCGGGUUAUAUUUGGUUAUUCGACGCCCGAAUGAUGCUUGCUUCGUGCUUUGUGGAACUCCCGAUGAUGGGAGUCAGCUACAAAGUGAAUGUGAUGAUAUUCAGGAGGUUGAUGAUCGGCAUCAUAAGGACUUUCUCAACAGUUGAUGGUGGAGAAAUGUGAGAACCUUGGAAGAGCCUUAGUAAGGUUAGUACGCUUGCAGAGUAGAGCAUUCCGCUGGGGAUCGAGCACGUGUGUUGAGAUUGGUGAAGAGGAGGGUGAACGGCUACUUAGGGAAUCUGGAGUGGUCUGUGUAGAAAGUAUGGGUAGAUGUGGCAGGUAGUAUGGGCCCGUACUACUGAAAGGAGAGGACCCAUACUAGAUGCAGGGAGUAUCCCAGAGGUUCUAACUAGAAGAUCGAGAAGUGAUGCCAUGGUUCGAGUACCAUGAUUGGUGGCAGAUCAAGAGGUGGUGCCAUGGUACGAGUACCAUGAUUGGAAGCAAAUCGAGAGGUGGUGCCAUGGUUCGAGUACCAUGAUUGGUGGCAGAUUGAGAGGAUAUAUCGUGGUUCGAGUACGAUGAUAUGUGACGGUUAGUGCUUUUAAUUUUUACCGAUUAUUCCGCAGUGAUUAUCUAAACCAAGGUCGGAUGUGAAAGAGUACGGGCCCUGAAUGCCAGGAUGAACGGCCAGGAUGAACGAGUUUUAGUGGAGCAUCCCUUGAUAGGGAAAUUGAGUUAGCUCCGAGGGAUUGCUGGUGAUAUGCCAAAAGAGUCGCAAGACUCAGAAUUGAGCAGGGACGGUGUGUUAUGGAAGUGUACGGUCUGAGCUGGUCAGUCGGCCGAUAGUAGAGACGUCACCUUUGUGACCUGAGUAGUGCUAUCUUCGUUCCUAAGGGUUAUGUAUGAGGUGUUGAGAUUUCGGUUUCUGACUUGGCAGUAAGCCUUAUGGGAUCGCACCGGUGGUGAUCUUCAAUCAGAGUAUCUGGCAGUAGGGACUGAGACGGUCAAGGACCAAGAUACACCCUAUUGGAGUAUAGUAGCGCAUGUGAUAGCUGCAGCGUUGGACGAUCAAUAGGAGUAUAUCAGGGUGGUGACGGUUGAGAUAAUGCAAUGGACCUUGGAGGUUCAACGGAUGGGUCGAUUUCAGACCUGGUGCUCAGUAUUAAAAAGUGGUAUGUGAAAUGGAGCUAAGGCUUAUGGUUAUUUUUGUGUCUGAGGACACUUCUGAGAGAGCACAAUUAUUCUCUUGUGUCUAAGGACAGAGUGUUGAGAAUUCACGAUUUGGAUGGGUUAGUAUAGCAAUUCAGCGAAUGAGCCCUAGUGGGAUGUGAACCCUUCCGUUCUUUGGGGCGUGAUCCAUAGUGUUUGCUGCAUUGGUAUGAGUAACCGAUAGCUGAUUGUUGAAUUUUUUUAUAAAGACAGAGGAGCAAUGAGUUAUCAGAGUUUGAGGUUCAAGGGGCGACUAUCAUGGUGCUAACAUGAGUGGACGGUUUGGCGGCGGGCCAAGCGAGUGGAGUUACCGAUUUUGGGAAGAUCAAAAAGGGGGUAUCUUAGCGGCGGAGGGUUUGGUUUUGGAUCUGGAUUUGGCAGUUCCUGUUUGGACUCAGGUAUCCAUGGAAAGACAGUGGUUGGAUAUGAGGUCAUUUUUAUUGGUGCCUAUUGGGUUUGGUUUCAAUCUAAGUUUUGAUAAGAAGCAAUUUCGAGGGCGAAAUCUGAUUAAGUGGCGGAGAAUUGUAACAUCCUGAUUCAGAUGGUCCAUGAUUAGGGAUCCUGGGCCACAAUCCAGGCAUGAGAAAGUCUCGGCUUGUGGCGAGUUUCUGGAAUCGUAAAGCAUCUCAUCACCUUUCCGUAGGUAUGAGGAUCGUUGGAAUCGGAGUUAUAUCAAAGAAGCUAUGGAAGUUUCAAGAUUUGGCAAGAUGAGUCCCUAAAGUGGAGAAGUGUGGCAACGAAGUACGUUGGGCGUACGUAUGCGUACGCUUAGCGUACAGAUGUGUGUGUUUCUUAAGCAAGAGCCACCUAGUACGUUAGGCAUACAACGGGGGUACGUUGGGCGUACUAGGGAUAGAAGGAAACUCUAAUUAAGUGAAGUGUCCGUAUAAAAAGAAAGAGAUGGUCUCAUUUGUGGCCACCUUCCUCAGUUAUUAAACCCUCUCAAACCCUAAUAUCCUUUCUUGAAGCUUGUGGUGGCCAUGAUGAGCUUGUUUGUGUUCUUGUGGACUUUUAAGUGUUAAGAAGGAGCAUGGAAAGGAGUGAUGUUGAAGAGCAGGCUGUGGAUCUGAGCUUUCUUGGGGCUAGAGCACCAUUUGAAGGUAUAAAGCUGCAAGCUUUCCCUCUCUUUUUGUUUAGUGCAUAUUAGUAUCCAUUUUAGGGUUUUUGGUCCCAAGCUUGAGGCUUUAUGAGUUGAUUCACUCCAGAGCUUAAUAACCUGCCCUUUUAGGUGUUUCUAGUGGUGGAG
rnacentral:lncRNA from 1 species